rnacentral:rRNA from 1 species
AACGUAGGUUCCGAGCGUUAUCCGGAUUUACUGGGCGUAAAGCGCGUUCAGGCGGUUUGGCAAGUCGGGCAUGAAAUCUCUCGGCUCAACCGGGAGAGGUUGUCCGAUACUGCUGGACUUGAGGGCAGUAGAGGGUGGUGGAAUUCCGGGUGUAGUGGUGAAAUGCGUAGAUAUCCGGAGGAACACCAGUGGCGAAAGCGGCCACCUGGACUGCACCUGACGCUGACGCGCGAAAGCUAGGGGAGCGAACGGG